rnacentral:rRNA from 1 species
CCGUCAGGGGGACAACCCGCCGAAAGGCGGGCUAAACCCGCGUACAUGCCACCGGGGCAUCCCGGAGGCAGGAAAGGCUUCGGCCGGACAGGGAUGGGCAUGCGGCGCAUUAGGCAGUAGGCGGGGUAACGGCCCACCUAACCGACGAUGCGUAGGGGUUCUGAGAGGAAGGUCCCCCACACUGGUACUGAGACACGGACCAGACUCCUACGGGAGGCAGCAG